GCCGCUCGGCCUCCCGCCGCGCGAGCGCCCCUCGGAGCCCUGCCCCUGGCCCGCCCCUGCCAGGCUUUUCGGGGCUUUUCUGUGGACCGCGGCGGGCGGGGGUGUCGCGUGGGGGCGGGGGCAGCUCCGCGACUCUCCUUGGCCACGCCAGGCAAGGACGCCGUGCCUCCGGGUGGGGGGGCGGGUCGGCGGUCAGGAGCGCGCGCGCGGCUCCACGCCGCCCCAUCCCAGACCCUCGGGGACCGGCAGAGGAAGGGUCUCAUCUGCCCUGACCUGGAGGCGGUGAGGACGGACACUGCUUCGUCCCCAGGGCUUCGGCUGCCUUAGAGGUGGACUGGGAGGACCUGGGAGGGGCGCCGGAGCGAAGAGGCUUCCGUCGCUGAAAACUAUUCACGCCGCACCAAAGAGGCAGCUACAGGGUGGACCCGUCUCGGCUCUGAUUCAUCCCUCCCCCACCUUCCCGCAGAUGUGGCCCUGGGGCAGCCCUCCGCAUCGCCCGGGAAGAGGGCCGAGGCUGGACAAAGGGAACAGCACCCCCGCAAGCCCACCUGGUGCAGCGGUGGGCUGCACUUCCCCCGGGGAGGAGGGGCACACACCUUCCUCGCUCCUGUGUUCAGGAGGCCCGAGACCGGAGGCCCUCCGUCCCCUCCUGCCUGACCGUCCCCCACUCAGGACGCCUCUCCAGGGCCAGGGGACGCCAGGGCAGGCCUGCCUGACCUGCCUGGAUGUGGAGCGGGAGCACAUCACCUACAGACAGCGCACCUCUGAGUCCUAGGCAAGCUGCCCCUGGGCCUGCAGGUGCCACAAAGGCAUCUCCGACACCUCGGACACCCAGAGUGGACCUGUCUCCCCCCGGAUCCAGCCUUCCGACUGGGUCUUUGCCCUGAUAAUACUGAACUGACAACUCGCCGUGUGAUGAGUCCGCGUGGCCUUCGCGGGCGUCCCCUGCGCUGCUCCGUGGCCAGGGCCAAAAAGGUGACAGUGCAGGCCUCACCCUAAUCUUCAGACUCCUGCAACAUAGACCUCGGCUUCAGGAUCGUUUGUGGUGGCACGCGGGCUCUGUUGCCCCCAAAGCAUGUGGGAUCCUAGUUCCUCCACCAGGGAUGGAGCCCGAAUCCCCUGCGUUGGGAGGCCGAUGCUUCACCCCUGGAGCACCAGGGACGUCCCCCGUAUCUGUUUUACACAUAGUGCUUUGCAUCUAUUUUCCACGUUUCAUUGAGAAGGCCUUUCGUGCGACCGAACACACGCGGUUGCUGAAGACGGGGCUCUUCCUCCCGGAUGGCGGAUUUCUGUCUGGCCGGCGCGCCGCGACAGCGUGUGGGUGACCGGCUGCCCCUGCCCGCGCCCGGCCCCGCCGUGGUCCCCGGCCGGGCUCCCCUUCCCCCGCGCGGAGAUGCGGGGGUACCCCCGCACCCCGCGUGCACAGCCUGAGCCCAGCGACCGCUCCCGCCCUGGCCUGCGGCGCGCCCGGGGACGGGGGACCGGCCUCGGGUUCGGGUCUGGCGCCUUGGCGACCGCGGGCAUCGCGGGGAGGGACGCGCCUGCGGACCUGGCCCGGCCCAGCCUGCGCUCCCCGCGCGCGGGCGCUGCCG